CUUUCCAUUGCGAGAAGAACUGCUGAUUGCUCAGCCUGCUGACGCGUUGUACUUGCCGUGGCUUCAAGUACGGAACUCUGUUUUUUGCCGACUUGGCUGGCGCGAACCUGCUGGUUCGUGGUUUUUCCUUGCGGGAUCCUUCGUUUUCGUCCCGCGGAGGCAACUACUGGCACAAGGUAUUCUUCCGCAUUUGCGCCAACUCGUUCUUCGCAUCUGUAGCCAGCGCAACCUUUCGAUGCCUCUGUGCCAGCCGAAGCGUCCCCUUCCGUUUCGAUACAAGGC
rnacentral:lncRNA from 1 species